GACGAACGCUGGCGGCGCGCUUCAUACAUGCAAGUCGAGCGGGGGUCCAUCGGGGCAAGCCCUGAGAAGACCUAGCGGCGAACGGGUGCGUAACACGUGAGCAACCUGCCCCGAAGACCGGGAUAAGCCGGGGAAACCUGGUCUAAUACCGGAUGUCCUCACCGAGUCGCAUGGCUCGGUGAGGAAAUGUCUUUUCGCUUCGGGAUGGGCUCGCGGCCUAUCAGCUUGNGGUGGGGUAAUGGCCUACCAAGGCGACGACGGGUAGCUGGUCUGAGAGGAUGUCAGCCACACUGGGACUGAGACACGGCCCAGACU
rnacentral:rRNA from 1 species